rnacentral:rRNA from 1 species
GGGUGUAUGCGUGUGUAUAUGAGCGCCUGUGUCUGUACUGAUGCUCAAAAAACAAAAACUUCCUGCAGUUUGCAGAUGUGCCUACCUUCGGCUCCGACAGCGGCGGCCUCGUCCCCGCGCACCACCUCUGACGCGGCGGCCUUCGCGGGCACACACAUCCACUGGAAGGAGACCCUCGAAGCGCACGUGGAGGUGCCGGGGCUGAAGAAGGAGGAGGUAAAGGUGGAGGCGGAGGACGGCAACGUGCUCCAGAUCAGCGGUGAGCGGAUGCUGGGAGCAGGAGGAGAAGACGGUCACCUGGCACUGCCGAGCGCAGCAGCGGCAGGUUCCUCCGCAGGUUCCGGCUCCUGGGCGACGCCAGGGCGGAGCAGGUCAGGGCGUCCAUGGAGAACGGUGUGCUCACCAUCACCGUGCCCAAGCAGGAGGUUAAAAAGCCAGAGGUCAAGUCCAUCCAGAUCUCUGGCU